rnacentral:rRNA from 1 species
UACAGAGGUCUCAACCGUUGUUCGGAUUCAUUGGGCGUAAAGCGCACGCAGGCGGCUGCGCGCGUGGGGUGUGAAAUCUGGCCGCUUAACGGCCAGGCGCCAUCCCAUACGGCGCGACUGGAGUGAUGCAGAGGUCGAUGGAAUUGCCGGUGUAGUGGUGAAAUGCGUAGAGAUCGGCAGGAACACCCAGGGGGAAACCAGUCGACUGGGCAUCUACUGACGCUGAGGUGCGAGAGCGUGGGGAGCGAACCGG